rnacentral:rRNA from 1 species
AGCUCCAAUAGCGUAUAUUAAAGUUGCUGCAGUUAAAAAGCUCGUAGUUGGAUUUGUGGCGUGGUCGUCCGGCGGGGCUCCUUCAUUGGGGCCGUUUGUCUGGUUUUUCGACCGCACCAUUCUCGGGUAGUGUGUCGCUGGCAUUAGGUUGUCGGCUUCUUCACGCCCGUCGUUUACUGUGAAAAAAUUAGAGUGUUCAAAGCAGGCUUAGGCCGUUGGAUACAUUAGCAUGGAAUAAUGAGAUAGGGCCACGACGGUCUAUUUUGUUGGUUUGCACGUUGUGGUAAUGAUUAACAGGAACGGUUGGGGGUAUUCGUAUUCAAUUGUCAGAGGUGAAAUUCUUGGAUUUAUGGAAGACGAACUACUGCGAAAGCAUUUACCAAGGAUGUUUUCAUUAAUC